UGUUGAUGCAGCAAGGAUGAGCUCAGGGU
rnacentral:piRNA from 1 species